UUGUUAUUGGCAUUUCCAGUAGGGAAAACUCUUGGAAUUUCAUAGCCGUCACCCACUGUGGGUGGCGUAUCAUCAUAGAUCAACUCAAGAUGCCCAGAAGUAAAGCUGCUUACAAGCAACCACCAGUAUCCAUACCAAAAAUUGCUUUAUCAAUUGAAGCUGUUCACGAAGGAUUGGCAGUUCGAGCAGCAGCAGAACAGUUUAAUGUUGCACACACAGCCCUUCAGAGACCAUCUUCAUUAUCAAAAUAAGAGUGGUAGUGAACAAUUCUUCUACAGCAAUAAAUGUGCAGUAUGGGCAGUAUUCUGAAUAAAGGAGUAAGUAAGUUGUUCCAAUGUGCUGAACCGGCUUCACGGUACUGGAUGUCAUACCUGCAACACAGAAAGUUUUUGAAUAAAUGGGAUUUUCAGAACCAAUCAGUUUUAGUUAUCUUAUCACGGAUUCUGAUUACACAAACGAUUAUAAUUAUUUGCAUGUCU